UAACUAUAACGGUCCCAAGGUAGCAAAUUUCCUUGUCGUCUAAAUAACGACCUGCAUGAAAGAUAGAACGAUUCGAUAGCUCUCUUGCAUAGAUGUGGUGGUAAAAUAUUAGGUAGUGUGAAGAUACUCUAACAACGUUAUAGGACAAAAAGACCCUGUGAACCUUUAUAGGGAUAAAAUUUAGUAGAGGUUCUAUAUUAAUAUAUCGCUUCGGCUGGGAUGGAAAAAGUUUGAGAUACCAUUCAUUGAGAAUAGAAUAAGAUAAAUCAGUUAGUUAAUGCACUCCCCUCUAGGGGUCCGGCUUUCCUAGAAGCUGGAUGGUGCACACGCAAUACGCGUCAUUAUAUUUGUCAAAUGUUAGAUGGGCUAUUUAAUUGGGGCGAUAACCUUCUUUAAUCAAACAAAAGGUGAACAAAGCUAUUGAUACGGGCUUUGUUAAAGGACGAAUAAGUACAAAGAUAGAUCUGUGGCUUAAUGGUAUUCCUUUGUUUGAUCCAGUAUUUAAAUGGUAUCUUAGUGACCUUAAAAUUAAUUUAUCAAAUAAAAGCUACUCAAGGGAUAACAGGCUUAAUUAAAAUUAGAGCUCACAUUAAAUUUGCCAGUUUGGCACCUCGAUGUCGGCUUAUCUUUUCAAAAAUCUGUAUUAAGAUUAUUGGUGGGAGUGCUCAUCCCAUAAUAAGGUACCUGAGCUGG
rnacentral:rRNA from 1 species